UACGAAGGGGGCGAGCGUUGUUCGGAAUUACUGGGCGUAAAGGGCGCGCAGGCGGCUCUGAAAGUCAGAUGUGAAAGCCCCGGGCUUAACCUGGGAAUUGCAUUUGAUACUCUGGAGCUUGAGUACGGGAGAGGAGAGUGGAAUUCCCAGUGUAGAGGUGAAAUUCGUAGAUAUUGGGAAGAACACCGGUGGCGAAGGCGGCUCUCUGGACCGUAACUGACGCUGAGACGCGAAAGCGUGGGGAGCGAACAGG
rnacentral:rRNA from 1 species